GAGGGUAUAGCUCAGUGGUAGAGUGCAUGCUUAGCAUGCACAAGGUCCUGGGUUCAAUCCCCAGUACCUCCA
rfam:Camelus ferus unplaced genomic scaffold scaffold90, whole genome shotgun sequence.